GCAGCCUGGCAGCGAGAGAACUAGUGCAUAAAUAAACUGGCUUCUCUCCUUCUUUCAGCCUCCCUCCAGUGUUGCUCAUCGACCAAAUUCAACAAGGAAUCAGAGGGCGAGAGAAUAUGGUUAAUGCAGUACAUGAAGGCCAGCUUCUCUGGGCAAGAAUAGAGUCGAGAAAGGAUCCGAAGGGGCAAACAGAGAAUACCCGGCACAACCCAUGUGUGAGAGUUUACAGGCCAGGAGAGCAGAAUCCAACUACAAAUCUCACAGCUGUCCCGGA
rnacentral:lncRNA from 1 species